CUGGGUUCUGUUGUUGGCAACCAACAGAGUUGUUGUCUUUUCUCGCAUUCAUUAAAAUGCACAAGAAGAAAUUUCUAAUGGUGAGGGAGUACUUGCUUCAAAUUCAUACUUCAGUGAAAUAAACAACACCAUACAUAGGAAUGUGAAAGCAAAGUCAUCAUACACUGUUUGCUUCAUUGUAUGAGAAUCAAUGUUUGCAUGAUAAACUGCCCUAAUGGAAGAGGACUCUGAGUUACCUUUUUCGAGCAAAGCCACCUAGGUUACUCUGUUUUCCCCAGAGUGACCCUUCUGUUCUGCAAAUUUUCAGAUUGAAGGGAGUAGCAGUAGAGUAUCAGAAGUAUCAGAAGCAAAAAAGUAAAUGUAUGAUUUGCAAAGCAUAACAAAAUGAAAAAUAAGCUUCUGCAGUCAUGGAAGUUCAGAAUUGGAUAACAACUUAGAUUAUUUAUUCCAACCUCAUCGAAAAAGAGAUAAAGACAUGGAAUUCAGGAAAAGUGAAAUCUACUUAAAUGUACCAAUCACAGCAGAGUCUUUUGGAACUUAAACAUCUUGACUCUUCUGUUUAAAGCCUAAAUCAACCUGAGAGAAGAGAUGAAACAACUGAGGGCCAAAAAGUUUACAAAAUUUUCCAAGAUCAUACAGCUAAUUAACAACAUCUGGGCUCUUCUUGACUUUUGGAAUCCAAUCAGAUAACCUCAAAGUAAUGGGAGAAGAUACACAAGUGAUCAUUGCCAGGACUGAAGACUGUUCCUAGGACUACUAUUUGGAUCAACAGAAGCUGAAAAUGAGAAUAUCAAAGGCUGGGCAGAUAGUUUCACUCACGGGCAUUGAUCAGGAUGGCUGGAGGUCACCUGCUGCAAGAAGCACUGUGUUUUCUGUGCAGCUUAAUGAGAGGGAGCAUAUCAUUUCAGGACUCUCACAGGAUGCAGUGUUACUGAGAAUCUCAUGAGGCAAAUCCUAAAUGCCAGGAUAAAUUUGCAGAGAUAGAACUACUACUUUUUUUUUUUAAAUUUCCUUUUGUUAUGACUUGAACGUGUAAGGUCAUGCUUCGAGCCUGCUAUCCUAUAGCUCUCAAUUCUAAACUAGUUGCAAGUAUAUUGGACUUCUUGCCCUGACCCCUGUCCCUUUGAUAGGCCAGGUGAAUCCAAAUAUGCCCGAGUGCAUCUCACAGAAUACAUCUGAUUCUAGGAUGGGACUAGAGGUCUCCUGGUAUUUAGAACUGCAAAAUGAGGUAGCAAAAGCUCUAGUCAUAUGCCUCCCAUUUAUUUGACAUAUCAUCACAAACAUGUCCAUAAUUUACCAAGGUUGAUCCACUGCCUACUACAUUUGUGUGUGAAAAUGUGUCAUGCUUUGUGGAAAAAGUGAAAAUAGUUAUCUGUAUGGUGGGUGCACUUUGAGUGACUGGGGUGGGGUAUGAGCACUGUCUUACAAAAAAGUCAAGAGUAAUAUCUGACAAAGAUACUGUCCUUUACCCUGGAUACCAACAGAUGUUCUUGUUUUCAUUCAAAAUUACAAUUAUCAUUGAAGUGCACAGUGGCUUUUAAUUGAGACAGAUAAAACGUAACUUCAAGUAUUGAAGUAAUUUUUUUUUACUGUUUUUAAGACAACUGAAGAUCUGAGCAAUUCUUGGCAUGACUUUUCUCCAUUCAGUUUAGAUUUUUGUGAUAAAAGGCGACUAUAAUAAAGAGAAUGGUAAAGGAAAAUAUCUAACAUGGAAUUUAUAUCUAAUCUUCUUGAAAGUUAUGAACACUUGUUAAUCCUUAAUUUCAACUCUUGAGAUUUCAUCUGAUUUGAGAUAUUCCU
rnacentral:lncRNA from 1 species